ensembl:lncRNA
GUCCCCCAGCCCAGCACUGUCCCCCGUUCAAGUGCCCCAAGCUUCCCCAUAUUCCUGGGUUACUUCGAGAGAUCUGGGGGGUUUGGACUCUGGGAAGUUCUGGCUCUGUGUGCGGGGAGACAGCAGAGUAGCACAGCAGGGCGUGAUGAGGGCCCCGAGACAUACGUGUUCCUCCUUUCAGAAUUUCAGUGGGGCAGCAAGGCUAGAUCUCCCGGCUUCCCUUGCGGCGAGCUUCAGCCUUGUGAUGAAGUUCUAGCCAGUGGGACGGGAACGGAAGGGAUGCCUGCCACUUCUGGGUGGUGCCCUCACGGGAAAGGCGAGAGAAAUACACCUCUCUCUUGGCUAAAAAAAAAAAAAAAAAAAAUUUUUUUUAAUGUUUAUUUAUUAUUGAGAGACAGAGAGAGACAGAGCAUGAGUAUGGGAGGGGCAGAGAGAGGGGGAGACACAGAAUCCGAAGCAGGCUCCAGGCUCUGAGCUGUCACGUCUGCACAGAGCCUGCCGUGGGGCUCGAAACCACAAACCGCGAGACCGUGACCCGAGGCGCAGCUGGACGCCCAACCGACCGGGCCACCCAGGCGCCCCAACACCUCUCUCUUGGUUAAGCCACUGUGAGUAUAACUUUUGUUACAGCGGCUGAACUUGUAUCUUAACUCUACAAAUGACACCACCCACAGUUACGGAGAUACUCCGCUCACUGUUCCGAGUGUUUCCUGUGUGGCAUUGAAUCUGAUCACCACAAGCCAAUGAUUUAGUGAGCAGCGUCCUGUCCUGACUCUCUAAACACCCCGACCUGUCUCCUCUCUCUUUGCCAUCCUCGACCCAGGCAAGGCCAGGAUGCUGGGGACAAGUCCAUGUACCCGUCCUCCAGACCCUCCCUCGUCUCGGCCACAUACCGGGUGUUGGAUGGUGCACGCACACGAAGGACCCACACCUAAGAACCAACUCCAGCUGAGCCGGCCCUGCCCGCCCCGACUUCACGGGAGGCAACACGGCCCGUGCCUUCACGUGGAGGAGUGGCAGUGGCUUCUGGAUGGCAGCACGCUGUUUGCAGUGUGCGUGGAGAACCGGCCGAGAGGCUGCUUCGCGAUCGGUCAGGUCUGCGGCUGGCCAGCCUUCCCACCCGCGGUCGGCAGCACCAGAGGGCGAGGACGGUGGCGUGCCAGCUCUUCGGGAUGGACAGGACACCCAGACGCCAGGGGAACAGGCAUCUGCUUGUUUUGCCUCCCUGAGCAUCCCUUCUGCCCUUUUCUGCUCCCAGCACCUCGCUUGGCCUCCAGGGAAGUACCUGCUUACUGCUGGUCCAUGUGAUUAAGUUCUGUUCUCCCCACCGAUUAGGCACCGGACCCAAGCCCGACCUGAGCGUCUCUCCUGGGCACCCAGUGGUGCGUCCCAGGCGACAAGAUGGAUGGGGGUUAGGACUGGCUGGUCUUGAGUCAUGCGUUCUUCCUAAUCUGAAUAUUGGGCAGGGUUUACGCGACUAAUCAGAACAAAUUCAAGGUUAUCCUUAAAGGCCGUCACUCUCUCUCACGUUGAAUGUACAUUCCCGAGGUGAGAGAGGAAUUGCACCAGCGUGAACAGGUAGGAAACAGGUAGGAAACUGUGCCGCUGGGUGGGGAUGGCCCCAGGUCCUCUUCUCGGGUGAAGUUGCCCAAAUCUCCCUCUUCCUUCUGGAAGCUUCCCUGCAAUCAGAGCAGUGACAGUGCACGACCUCAGGGGCACCAUUCACAUGCUCUCUCUGGAGUCGUGCAAAGAGGUGGCCUUGCCCGCAGCCUUCUAGUACACUCUUUGUUGUUGCUUGCGUUAGCCCAAGCCAAUUUGUGCGGGCGAGGGCCAACGAACCUAACCCGGAACGUUAGCCGUUCUUGUGCCACUGAGUACGCAGCCACUGUUGUCAAAACUUCCAGCAGCCAGACCUGCUUCCCUUUUCCCUGAAGUGCCUCAGGAGUAGGGUUGUCGAUACAAAUAGUUGUAAAUACAGAUAUAAAUAUAAAUGCGCUAUUUUUAGCAUAAAUAUGUCUUAUGCAAUGUUGGGCGCCGGGGAUGAAAAUGAUGUCACACCUUUUGGGGUUGGUUUGAAGACACUCCCCUCCCCCUUUACUUUGCUGCCCUGAACCCCGACAUGUAAAUGGCUUCUUUAGGUGGGGGCGUAUUAUCUUCCCUGAUGAUUCACCUAAGACGAGCCAUCUGAUACAAAAUGGAUCAGUCAAGGUGGCUCCCCAGGAAUUUUCGAACAGAAAGUAAGAAAGAAUGACAUGUUUCCGGGUGUUGGAGUUUGGAAAACACUAAGCCCAGGGACAGGACAGUUUCUUGCCGGUGGCCAGGACUUGGUGUUUAUUGGGAGAACGAGUUGGAUGAUGGGGCGGAAGCAGAGAGGAGAAAGGGAGGCAGUUGUGACCGUGUUCAAAUUCCGGGUUCCGGUUGUUCUUGGGGCCUCCUAGCCCUUGCCAUGUUUUCAUUUUUGAUCCUUUCUUAGAUUCUAUGAACCAUUAGGCUCUUUUUUGCCCCAGAGAUGAAACCAAAUUCAUACUUGGUUGUAUUGGAGUAAGCUGGGAGCGUCUAUCUUGCCAAGAUGUGAGUGGGAGCCAUGUCUUACUCAUCUAGCCUCCCCAAGCUUUUAACCCAGCCCCUGGCACGGAGUAGGAGCUCAAUUAUAUUUGAAAUAAAUGAAUAAGUGACGCCA